rnacentral:rRNA from 1 species
AUUGAACGCUGGCGGCAUGCUUUACACAUGCAAGUCGAACGGCAGCGCGGGCUUCGGCCUGGCGGCCAGUGGCGAACGGGUGAGUAAUGCAUCGGAACGUGCCCAGUAGCGGGGUAUAGCCCGGCGAAAGCCGGAUUAAUACCGCAUACGACCUUAGGGUGAAAGCGGGGGACCGAAAGGCCUCGCGCUAUUGGAGCAGCCGAUGUCGGAUUAGCUAGUUGGUGGGGUAAAGGCUUACCAAGGCGACGAUCCGUAGCUGAUCUGAGAGGAGGACCAGCCACACUGGAACUGAGACACGGUCCAGAGUCCUACGGGAGGCAGCAGUGGGGAAUUUUGGACAAUGGGGGCAAGCCUGAUCCAGCCAUGGCGCGUGCGGGAAGAAGGCCUUCGGGUUGUAAAGCGCUUUUGUUGGGGAAGAAAUCCUGUGGGCUAAUACCCAGCGGGGAUGACGGUACCGGAAGAAUAAGCACCGGCUAACUACGUG